rnacentral:snRNA from 1 species
GGUGAGGGCGAUCUGGCUGCGACAUCUGUCACCCCAUUUAUCGCCAGGGUUGAUUCGGCUGAUCUGGCUGGCUAGGCCGGUGUCCCCUUCCUCCCUCACCACUCCAUGUGCGUCCCUCCCGAAGCUGCGCGCUCGGUCGAAGAGGACGACCUUCCCCGAUAGAGGAGGACCGUUCUUCGGUCAAGGGUAUACGAGUAGCUGCGCUCCCCUGCUAGAACCUCCAAACAAGCUCUUAUGCUUACUUUUUUAAACAUUCUUAUAAUAAAAGGGUGUUGAAUUUUGCCAAAUGCUUUUUCUGCAUCUAUUGAGAGGAUCAUAUGAUCUUUAUUUUUGCUUCUAUUU